GAAUUUGCAACUAUUUGUAUCUAUUUAGUGAUCAGUCCUCCGCUAGUUUCUUUGAUUCCACUCGGUGUUCCUUUUCCAUUUGCUUCCAAUAGUUUGACCUAUCCGGAAAAAUUGUCAGCCUACGAAUGUGGUUCCGAUCCCUCCGGUGAUGCCAGAAGUCAUUUUGAUAUACUAUUUUAAUCGGUUCAAUGGAUUUUCUUGAGGCACUCCCCAAGUUUGAUGGUUGUAGCUCAAUACUUGUGUUCGUGGACAGUUUAA
rnacentral:rRNA from 1 species